rnacentral:rRNA from 1 species
GACGAACCGUGCGAACGUUAUUCGGAAUCACUGGGCUUAAAGCGCGUGUAGGCGGGACGGCACGUCUGUCGCUGAAAUCCCCCGGCUUAACCGGGGAACUGGCGGAGAUACGACCGUCCUGGAGGGGCGUAGGGGGACCUGGAACUUCCGGUGGAGCGGUGAAAUGCGUUGAGAUCGGAAGGAACGCCCGUGGCGAAAGCGAGGUCCUGGACGCCUACUGACGCUGAGGAGCGAAAGCGUGGGGAGCGAACAGG